CCUGGAGGACUUGUUAAUUCCCAGAACCAUGGACCCCACCUCUAUACUUUCUAAUUUUAUUGAUCAGAGGACAGGGCAGGAGAAUUUGCAUUUCUAUCAAGUUCUCAGGUGCUACUGAUGUGGUUAGUCUGAGCCCAGUCUCAAGUCUAUACUUUGAGAAGCCUAGGUACAGAGGAAGGUCAGUGGGCAGAGAACUAUCUUAAGGGACUAUCCACAAUCCAGCCUGGCUGGUUCAGAGCCUCUGUCCAGCCGCCAGAGCUGCCAGGCUUGAACGACUCACUCAUUCUAACGCAAUUCACAAAAGAUUUUUUUUUUUUUGAAAUGGAGUCUUGCUCUGUCACUCAGGCUGGAGUACAGUAGCAUGAUCAUGGCUCAGUGCAGCCUUGACCUCUCAGACUCAGGCAAUCCUCCCACACCAGCUUCCCAAGUAGCUGGGACUAUAGGAGUAUGCCACCAUGCCCAGCUAACUUUAACUUUUUUUAAAAAAAAAAGAGUCUCUCUACGUUGCCCAGGCUGCUGGUCUCAAACUCCUGGGCUCAAGCAAUCCUUUCCCUUCAGCCUCCUGAGGUGCUGGGAUUGUAGGCAUGAACUACCAUGCCUGGCUCACAAGAAAUUUUCUGGUAAGUGCCUAUUUAUGCACUUACAUCGAACUUGUUAUUGCCAAUGGGGCCUGGUCAUUAUAUUCUCCCUCUAGGGCCACUUUAUGUGGGAAGCCACAUCCUGAGAAGAGCCACUGCCAGCUUGUGGCGUUCAUGCCCACCCAUGCCACCACAGGGGUGAUGUCAGAGCCUGAGACUGGAACAUAUGCCAGCUCCCUGCAGUCCCUGCAUUGCUUUUCCCAGCUUGUCUGCAUCCAAACACCAACAGCAGCAGUGGGAACAUUUUUGUGCACAGGCCCAAGAAGCAUGAAGAGGACACUUACCAUGUGCCAGUCUCUGGGGUAGGCUCAGAGUGAAGGAAGCCUAGUCCUUAUCCCUGUGGAACAUAUAUGAAGGGAAGGACAGGAAAUGAAUGUCAACAAAUAUAUUAUCAAAAUAAACUGAGACUCAUAAGUGCUAUGCAUAAGAAGAGAAAAGCAAAUAGCCGAGAGUCUCUGGUGGCUAAGGCACUUCACUAGAUGGAGUGGACAGAGAAUGACUGUCUGACCAUUGAACUAAGAUGUAAAUAAAGAAAAACAAGUCAUGUGGAAUAUUCCAGGAAAGGAGCACUCCAGGCAGUGGGAAUAUAGCAUGCAGAGGCUCUGAGGCAGGAGCAGCUUGGCAUACUCCAGGAACAGAGUGAAGGCCGGAGGAGCCAUAGCAAGAUGAGGGAGAGGAGCAAGGGCUGGCGAUGACGUGGGAGAGCUAUGCAGGGGCCAGAUAAAGUGGGACAUGGGAAGGAAGUUUGGAUUUUUCUCCAAGCCUUUGUUACUCCUAAUGCGGUCCAGAAGCGCAGCAACUGCGUGACCUGGGAGCUUAUUAGAAACAGUCCUGAGCCCAACCCCGAAUAACUCAUCACAAACUGCAUCUUAGCAAAAUUCCCACAUGAUCCAAAAAUAUAUUAAAUUUUUAGAAGCACAGUACUCUAAGAAAGCCACCUUCUUUGCAGGUGGCGAGUUUUAAAGAUCCCUUGGGCCGUCACCUGGAGAGCAGAUGGUAGGGAGGCAAGGGCACAGCCAUGGCUCUGGUUUUAAGACAGCUGCGGUGGUCCAAGCCAGGUGGGGAGCAGGAACCGGGUGAGAGUGGAGGAGAUGGAGGAAAGAGAGGGGAUAGAGGACAUGUUUUGGAGACAGAGUCAAC
rnacentral:lncRNA from 1 species